rnacentral:rRNA from 1 species
GACCUAGGAUCAGCCAUGCAGUCUAAGUACGAGCUCCCGUACAGUGAAACUGCGAAUGGCUCAUUAAAUCAGUUAUGGUUCAUUUGAUCGUACGUGUUACUUGGAUAACUGUGGAAAUGCUAGAGCUAAUACAUGCAUAAAGCGCCGACCUCGCGGGAGGCGUGCUUUUAUCAGACCAAAAACCGACCGGGCUUCGGCUCGUCGCUUUGGUGACUCUGGAUAACUUCGCGGAUCGCACGGUCGAGCACCGGCGACGGAUCAUUCAAGUGUCUGCCCUAUCAACUUUCGUCGGUAGGGUAUCGGCCUACCGAGGUUCUUACGGGUAACGGGGAAUCAGGGUUCGAUUCCGGAGAGGGAGCCUGAGAAACGGCUACCACAUCCAAGGAAGGCAGCAGGCGCGCAAAUUACCCAUUCCCGACGCGGGGAGGUAGUGACGAAAAAUAACAAUACAGGACUCUCAACGAGGCCCUGUAAUUGGAAUGAGUACACUUUAAAACCUUUAACGAGUAUCCAUUGGAGGGCAAGUCUGGUGCCAGCAGCCGCGGUAAUUCCAGCUCCAAAAGUGUAUAUUUAAGUUGCUGCGGUUAAAAAGCUCGUAGUUGGAUUUUGGGCGCAGGCGGCCGGUCCGUCGCAAGGCGUGCACUGGCCGUCCUGGCCUUACCUCCGGUUCCCCGCCGGUGCUCUUGACUGAGUGUCGGCGGCGGCCGGGACGUUUACUUUGAAAAAAUUAGAGUGUUCAAAGCAGGCGGUUCGCCUGAAUAAUGGUGCAUGGAAUAAUGGAAUAGGACCUCGGUUCUAUUUUGUUGGUUUUCGGAGCGCGAGGUAUGAAUAAGAGGGACAGACGGGGGCAUUCGUACUGUGCCGUUAUAUGUGACAUUCUUGGGAUCGGCGCAGACGAACGACUGCGAAAGCAUUUGCCAAGAAUGUUUUCUUAAAUCAAGAACGAAAGUCAGAAGGUUCGAAGAUCAACAGAUCACGUCUUAGUUCUGACCUAGCACCGAUGCCAACUAUCGAAUCGGUCAACGUAAGAUUGACCGACCUGGCCUCGCUAGCUUCCCGGCAACCAAACUCUCUUCGGAUACCAGGAGAAGUAUGGUGUGCAAGGCUGGAUACCUCAUGAAUGAACGAAGGUCACUAGCUGAUAGUGGCACCGCACCUCUAUGAGACCUCACCUCGCUUAAAUCAACAUGCCAGGACUAGAUACAGUCCUGUGCCAGCAUGACCCGGACUAGC